rnacentral:misc_RNA from 1 species
CAGAGUUGCAAAACUCCCUAAACCAUUCGCGAACGUUACCCUAGACGUCGUUGCUUCGGCGGGCUCGCCCGUUCCCGGGGGACGCCACCAUGGCCCAUCUCUGCCCGUACACGGCCUCACUCUUGAGUACUUGCCUCUGAGUCUUCUUACAAUAAGUCA